AUACGGAGGGGGCUAGCGUUGUUCGGAAUUACUGGGCGUAAAGCGCGCGUAGGCGGAUCGUUUAGUCGGGGGUGAAAUCCUGAGGCUCAACCUCAGAACUGCCUCCGAAACUGGCGAUCUCGAGUCCGGAAGAGGUGAGUGGAAUUCCCAGUGUAGAGGUGAAAUUCGUAGAUAUUGGGAAGAACACCAGUGGCGAAGGCGGCUCACUGGUCCGGUACUGACGCUGAGGUGCGAAAGCGUGGGGAGCAAACAGGAUUAGAUACCCCAGUAGUCC
rnacentral:rRNA from 1 species